GAUCAUGGCUCAGGAUGAACGCUAGCUACAGGCUUAACACAUGCAAGUCGAGGGGCAGCAUGAACUUAGCUUGCUAAGUUUGAUGGCGACCGGCGCACGGGUGAGUAACGCGUAUCCAACCUGCCCUUUACUCGGGGAUAGCCUUCUGAAAGGAAGUUUAAUACCCGAUGAAUUCGUUUAGUCGCAUGGCUUGAUGAAGAAAGAUUUAUCAGUAAAGAAUGGGGAUGCGUCCCAUUAG
rnacentral:rRNA from 1 species